rnacentral:rRNA from 1 species
UAGGUCGACCCGCUGAAUUUAAGCAUAUCACUAAGCGGAGGAAAAGAAACUAACCAGGAUUCCCCUAGUAACGGCGAGUGAAGAGGGAAAAGCCCAGCACCGAAGCCUGUGGCAAUUUUGCUGCUAGGCAAUGUGGUGUUUAGGUCGGCUCGUGGGAUCGCCACUCCACUCGAAGUCCAGCAUUGAGUAUGGUUCCCAGGAAUUGGCCCAUAGAGGGUGAAAGGCCCGUACGAGUGGAAGUGUCAGAUAUGUAAGGCGAUUCACCAGGCCGGCCUUAGAGUCGGGUUGUUUGCGAAUGCAGCCCAAAGUGGGUGGUAAACUCCAUCCAAGGCUAAAUACUAGCACGAGUCCGAUAGCGAACAAGUACCGUGAGGGAAAGUUGAAAAGUACUUUGAAGAGAGAGUAAACAGUACGUGAAACCGCAUAGAGGUAAACGGGUGGCGUCAAGCUGCAAGCCCAGAGAAUUCAGUCGGUCAGGGUGUUGUCAUGCGCCCAGCGCAUCUAUCAGUCGGUGUAGGAUUUGGCUAGUCCGCUUGAAGAUGGCGGGCCCAGCUAGCAAUAGCUGGGAUUUGCGUACCGGGCGGUAGCCGGAGCAUGCUAGCCGUCUGUAGGACUGCCUGGCCGAUGCACUUUCUCUGUUGGUGAACACCACGACCGGUGGUACUGCCAGUCUGCUGUAGCCAGCUUCGUUGCAUACUCUGGCCUUUUGGUUGGGGCGUGUGGCGAUCACAGACAAUUUCAGUGCACGGUGCUUGUGUGUUUUUCGCAUGCGGGCAUGUUAUCGGGAACUGGUUGUAAACGGGUCGGCCUGUCGACUUGUCUGUAGUCGUGGUUGAUGGGUGACCCGGUGGGCUAUGGUGGUAUGAAUAACUGUGCAGGGCACCGGAGUUUUCGGUCCGACCAGCAGUAGUCGUUCGCGGCUGCUGUUGCCGGCUGCAUACGCACUGCAGUUUAGCGUGUGCACUGUCUUUGGCAGUAGUACGGGCGGCGCUGUUUACGGCCUGCCAGUCGUUGGGUCUGAUUGUCGUGUCGCCUGCCAAAAUGGUGGGUCCGGCGGUGGCCUGGCGUUGGAUGGUGCCUGUAGACGGAGCUGUCGUUGUGCAGCCGGUAUUUGUGUGCGCGACCUUAUAGUCUGUGGUGUAGUGGUAGACGAGCUACCCGACCCGUCUUGAAACACGGACCAAGGAGUUUAACAUGCGCGCGAGUCAUUGGGUCCUACGAAACCCAGAGGCGCAGUGAAAGUAAAGCUUCGACAUAUAUUGUUCUCGGGGUGUGGUGAGAUCCUGCUGUUUCUCGCAUACAUUUGUCCAGCACUGGGCUAACUAAACGAGCAGUGGGCGCAUCACCGGCCCGUCCCAUGAUGUGGCUAUCUGUCAGUGGCAGUUGUCGCCUUACGGUGGUGGUUGCUUUCUGCGGGUACGUCAUCGGGGCGGAGCAUGAGCGCGCAUGUUGAGACCCGAAAGAUGGUGAACUAUGCUUGCGUAGGUUGAAGCCAGAGGAAACUCUGGUGGAGGACCGCAGCGAUUCUGACGUGCAAAUCGAUCGUCAAACGUGAGUAUAGGGGCGAAAGACUAAU